rnacentral:rRNA from 1 species
UACGUAGGCAGCGAGCGUUGUUCGGAAUUAUUGGGCGUAAAGAGCUCGUAGGCGGUCUGUCGCGUCUGUUGUGAAAACUCGAGGCUCAACCUCGGGCUUGCAGUGGAUACGGGCAGACUAGAGUGCGGUAGGGGAGACUGGAAUUCCUGGUGUAGCGGUGAAAUGCGCAGAUAUCAGGAGGAACACCAACGGCGAAGGCAGCUCGCUGGGACGGUACUGACGCCUGGAGGCGCGAAAGCGUGGGGAGCGAACAGG